rnacentral:rRNA from 1 species
UAGUCCAAGCGGUAAGCGAUGGGUACUAGGUGUCGGGGGUAUCGACCCCUUCGGUGCCGCAGCUAACGCAUUAAGUACCCCGCCUGGGGAGUACGGUCGCAAGAUUGAAACUCAAAGGAAUUGACGGGGGCCCGCACAAGCGGUGGAGUAUGUGGUUUAAUUCGAUGAUACGCGAGGAACCUUACCAGGGCUUAAAUGUAAGUUGCAUGAUUUAGAGAUAGAUCUUUCUUCGGACUACUUACAAGGUGCUGCAUGGUUGUCGUCAGCUCGUGCCGUGAGGUGUCAGGUUAAGUCCUAUAACGAGCGCAACCCCUACCGUUAGUUGCCAGCAUGUUAUGAUGGGGACUCUAGCGGGACUGCCGGUGCAAACCGAGAGGAAGGUGGGGAUGACGUCAAAUCAUCACGGCCCUUACGUCCUGGGCUACACACGUGCUACAAUGGUAACGACAGAGGGCAGCCACCCCGCAGGGGGAGCGAAUCCUUAAACGUUAUCUCAGUUCGGAUCGGAGUCUGCAACUCGACCCCG